UACGUAGGUGGCAAGCGAUACUCGGAAUCACUAGGCGUAAAGCGCACGCAGGCGGCUUGGUAAGUCUUUUGUGAAAGCUCCCGGCUUAACUGGGAGAGGUCAAGGGAAACUACCAGACUAGAGUGUGGUAGGGGAUACUGGAAUUCCUGGUGUAGCGGUGAAAUGCGUAGAUAUCAGGAGGAAUACCUAUGGCGAAAGCAGGUAUCUGGGCCAUCACUGACGCUGAGCUGCGAAAGCUAGGGGAGCAAACAGG
rnacentral:rRNA from 1 species